rnacentral:rRNA from 1 species
GGGGGUCGGAUGAACUAGCAUGCGAGUCAUUGUAGCAAUACAAGGCAGACGGCUCAGUAACGCGUAGUCAAUCUACCCUAUGGACGGGAAUAACCUCGGGAAACUGAGAAUAAUGCCCGAUAGAACAUUAUACCUGGAACGGUUUAUGUUUCAAAUGAUUUAUCGCCGUAGGAUGGGACUGCGGCCUAUCAGUUUGUUGGUGAGGUAAUGGCCCACCAAGACUAUUACAGGUACGGGCUCUGAGAGGAGUAGCCCGGAGAUGGGUACUGAGACACGGACCCAGGCCCUAUGGGGCGCAGCAGGCGAGAAAACUUUGCAAUGUGCGAAAGCACGACAAGGUUAAUCCGAGUGGUUUCUGCUAAAGAAACCUUUUGCUAGUCCUAGAAACACUAGUGAAUAAGGGGUGGGCAAGUUCUGGUGUCAGCCGCCGCGGUAAAACCAGCACCUCAAGUGGUCAGGAUGAUUAUUGGGCCUAAAGCAUCCGUAGCUCGUUUUGUAAGUUUUCGGUUAAAUCCAUACGCUCAACGUAUGGGCUGCCGGGAAUACUGCAUAACUAGGAAGUGGGAGAGGUAGACGGUACUCGGUAGGAAGGGGUAAAAUCCUUUGAUCUAUUGAUGACCACCUGUGGCGAAGGCGGUCUACCAGAACACGUUCGACGGUGAGGGAUGAAAGCUGGGGGAGCAAACCGGAUUAGAUACCCGGGUAGUCCCAGCUGUAAACUAUGCAAACUCAGUGAUGCAUUGGCUUGUGGCCAAUGCAGUGCUGCAGGGAAGCCGUUAAGUUUGCCGCCUGGGAAGUACGUACGCAAGUAUGAAACUUAAAGGAAUUGGCGGGGGAGCACCACAAGGGGUGAAGCCUGCGGUUCAAUUGGAUUCAACGCCGGG